UACGUAGGGGGCAAGCGUUGUCCGGAUUUAUUGGGCGUAAAGAGCGUGUAGGCGGCCGCACAGGUCCGUUGUGAAAACUGGAGGCUUAACCUUCAGACGUCGAUGGAAACCGUGCGGCUAGAGUCCGGAAGAGGAGAGUGGAAUUCCUGGUGUAGCGGUGAAAUGCGCAGAUAUCAGGAAGAACACCCGUGGCGAAGGCGGCUCUCUGGGACGGUACUGACGCUGAGACGCGAAAGCGUGGGGAGCAAACAGG
rnacentral:rRNA from 1 species